GGAGUUUGGGCCGUGUCUCAGUCCCAAUGUGGCCGUUCACCCUCUCAGGCCGGCUACUGAUCGUUGCCUUGGUGGGCCGUUACCUCGCCAACUAGCUAAUCAGACGCGGGUCCAUCUCACACCACCGGAGUUUUUCACACUGUGUCAUGCGGCACUGUGCGCUUAUGCGGUAUUAGCAGUCGUUUCCGACUGUUAUCCCCCUGUGUGAGGCAGGUUACCCACGCGUUACUCACCCGUCCGCCACUCAGUAAGCCUGAGUGCAAGCACUCUGACUUCUUCGUUCAACUUGCAUGUGUUAAGCCUGUAGCUAGCGUUCAUC
rnacentral:rRNA from 1 species